rnacentral:rRNA from 1 species
AUUGAACGCUGGCGGCAGGCCUAACACAUGCAAGUCGAGCGGAUGAAGGGAGCUUGCUCCUGGAUUCAGCGGCGGACGGGUGAGUAAUGCCUAGGAAUCUGCCUGGUAGUGGGGGAUAACGUCCGGAAACGGGCGCUAAUACCGCAUACGUCCUGAGGGAGAAAGUGGGGGAUCUUCGGACCUCACGCUAUCAGAUGAGCCUAGGUCGGAUUAGCUAGUUGGUGGGGUAAAGGCCUACCAAGGCGACGAUCCGUAACUGGUCUGGGAGGAUGAUCAGUCAGACUGGAAAUGGGAGACGAGCAAGAGUCCUACGAGAGGCGGCAGUGGAGAAUGUUGGACAAUAGGCGACAGCAUGAGCCAACCAUGACGCGAGUGUGAAAAAAGUAUUAGGAUUGUAAAGCACAUUAAGUUGGGAGGAAGGGCAAUAAGUAAAUACCGAGCUGGUUUGACGUUACCAACAGAAUGAGAAAAGGCUAACUACGUG